rnacentral:tRNA from 1 species
AGAGAGGUGGCUGAGUCUGGUUGAAGGCGCUCGACUCGAAAUCGAGUAGGCGAGUUAACCCUUGCCUCGGGGGUUCAAAUCCCUCCCUCUCCGCCA